GUGAGGAAUAUUGCGCAAUGGAGGCAACUCUGACGCAGCCAUGCCGCGUGCAGGAAGAAGGCGCUACGCGUUGUAAACUGCUUUUAACCGGGAAGAAACCCCAGGACGUGUCCUGGGUUGACGGUACCGGAGGAAUAAGCACCGGCUAACUUCGUGCCAGCAGCCGCGGUAAUACGAAGGGUGCAAGCGUUAUCCGGAUUCAUUGGGGUUAAAGGGUGCGUAGGCGGAGCGUUAAGUCAGUGGUGAAAUCCUGCAGCUUAACUGUAGACUUGCCAUUGAUACUGGCGCUCUUGAGUGCGCUUGAAGUGGGCGGAAUGUGCCGUGUAGCGGUGAAAUGCUUAGAUAUGGCACAGAACACCAAUUGCGAAGGCAGCUCACUAAGGCGAUACUGACGCUGAGGCACGAAAGCGUGGGGAUCGAACAGGAUUAGAUACCCGAGUAGUCC
rnacentral:rRNA from 1 species